ACGGAAGGCUAGUAGAAAUGGGCCCAUUUAUGAGUAAUUAUAAAUGAGAAUUUGGCUAUAUCGGUGGACACCCUGAUUAUGUCAGGACAAUACCGAGGGAACCUUUUUAAAAUUAAAAUAUUUUAUUUUGGACUCCGUAGAGACUACACGCCAAACUCCCGAUUAAAGCCGGGAUGAUGAUAUAGUCCUACCCUUGUGGUAACACAAGA
rnacentral:ncRNA from 1 species